GAACGCUGCGGCAGGCCUAACACAUGCAAGUCGAGCGGUAGCACAGAGAGCUGCUCUCGGGUGACGAGCGGCGGACGGGUGAGUAAUGUCUGGGAAACUGCCUGAUGAGGGGGAUAACUACUGGAAACGGUAGCUAAUACCGCAUAACGUCGCAAGACCAAAGUGGGGGACCUUCGGGCCUCAUGCCAUCAGAUGUGCCCAGAUGGGAUUAGCUAGUAGGUGGGGUAAUGGCUCACCUAGGCGACGAUCCCUAGCUGGUCUGAGAGGAUGACCAGCCACACUGGAACUGAGACACGGUCCAGACUCCUACGGGAGGCAGCAGUGGGGAAUAUUGCACAAUGGGCGCAAGCCUGAUGCAGCCAUGCCGCGUGUAUGAAGAAGGCCUUCGGGUUGUAAAGUACUUUCAGCGAGGAGGAAGGCAUUAAGGUUAAUAACCUUAGUGAUUGACGUUACUCGCAGAAGAAGCACCGGCUAACUCCGUGCCAGCCGCAGC
rnacentral:rRNA from 1 species